CUUCAACGGAGAGUUUGAUCCUGGCUCAGGAUGAACGCUGGCGGCGUGCUUAACACAUGCAAGUCGAACGAUGAUCCCAGCUUGCUGGGGGAUUAGUGGCGAACGGGUGAGUAACACGUGAGUAACCUGCCCUUAACUCUGGGAUAAGCCUGGGAAACUGGGUCUAAUACCGGAUAUGACUCCUCAUCGCAUGGUGGGGGGUGGAAAGCUUUUUGUGGUUUUGGAUGGACUCGCGGCCUAUCAGCUUGUUGGUGAGGUAAUGGCUCACCAAGGCGACGACGGGUAGCCGGCCUGAGAGGGUGACCGGCCACACUGGGACUGAGA
rnacentral:rRNA from 1 species